AAAAUUCUUUUAAGAGAAUGUCUGACCAUGAUGGCGGAAUGGGAAGACGCCGCACUUCUUUGUGGCGGAGCUGCUACGGAAUUACGACGUGGAAUGUGGCCGGAGACCGUCGAUGCUUAAAAUGAAGUCCUGGUCGGCUGCCAGGAUCAUAUUCACGAAGUGGUGCGCGAAAAUGACAGAUUCCGACGAACCCUCCUCACAUUGAACCGAAGAAAACUGAGCAAUUCUCUAUCUACACAAAGUUUAAGACUUCUGAUGGCUCCUGACACAAACGGAUAUUAGAAUCGUCAUGAAGGAGACUUCAACUUGUUAUUUCUCGUUUAUAUUGUUAGAUGUCAAAGAAGCAAUAAUAAUGCAAUCCCUUAAGUCAAAUUAACAACAUAUUGGAUAGAAGCGACAGCGACCUACAAAUAUCUAUAUAAUUAAAAAUAACUCAAAUUGGAUAUAAUUUGACAUAAUGAAUUUAGCAGUGUAUGACAUCACGAUUUCGUUAUAAACGCGACUAUUACUUAGUAGUCUUAAUGAAGAGGAAAAUAUCUUUGAAAAAGAAAAAAAAAUACAUUGAAAUAUGAACUUCAGUUCAUAUUUCACAGUAUUCAAUGGCACACAAGCAUCGAUUUUUUACUCUUUCCUUCUUAUGUAAUCUGCGUCUGCUGAGGUAUAGGAAAAACAAGAAAUUAUAAGUGCACUUGAUCUCUUCAUCGAGACUUGUCCAGGCGGUCGAGAUGUAAUCGUGGUGGAGGAACGAGCCGAGUACCCAACGAGUUAGAAAAUAUCUGGCUGUCGGCCCUCAGUCGAGGGAGAGAAUCUCUCGAGUAUAAGUAGAAGAGUCCAAUUAGACAACCGGCUGUCGAGGAGCAAACGUCCGCGGAAAUUCUGCUUCGUUUGUAAUUUCGAAGAGUGGAACAGUUUAUCGAGAUAAUAUAGAUCCUUCAGCCGCAGGCUAAAGAGAAUUAAUGUGGAAAUGUGAGCAAUAUCGUGAGACGAUCAGACGGCGCGGCAAGAAAAUCGAAACGCGAAUGUACGUUAAGAGAGUUAGGCGUACAAGCUCGGUUGCGCCGAGUGUACUUUCCGCAGCAGUGCUUUAUAAUUUAUCUUGCAGCAACGGCGGAUCGAUUCAAAUGUUGCUCUUGCGUAAUUCACAGCACGAUUAAUACACGACACGGAGACGAGAUCGGAUUUUCAGAUUAGUAAACAGAGUCAUUGUACUUUGGUCGAUUUAUUCGACGCGGACGAAUGUUGAGUAACCGUGAAUUGCGGCGAGUCUCGUUGAAGAAAUACAAAAGAGCUAUAUAGAACUCCAUACUACGUAUUGUAAUAAAUUAAAUGUAAA